rnacentral:rRNA from 1 species
AACCGCUGAAAGCAUCUAAGCGGGAAGCCCACCUUAAGAUUAGAUUUCCCUAAAGAGCCGUUGUAGACUACGACGUUGAUAGGUUGGGUGUGGAAGCAUAGUGAUAUGUGUAGCUAACCAAUACUAAUUGCUCGUUUGGCUUGACUAUACAACGCCUAA